GCAGCCGCGGUAAUACGGAGGAUGCGAGCGUUAUCCGGAUUUAUUGGGUUUAAAGGGUGCGUAGGCGGGGUGUUAAGUCAGCGGUAAAAUUGAGGGGCUCAACCCCUUCGAGCCGUUGAAACUGGCAUUCUUGAGUGAAUGAGAAGUAUGCGGAAUGCGUGGUGUAGCGGUGAAAUGCAUAGAUAUCACGCAGAACUCCGAUUGCGAAGGCAGCAUACCGGCAUUCAACUGACGCUGAAGCACGAAAGCGUGGGGAUCAAACAGGAUUAGAUACCCC
rnacentral:rRNA from 1 species